rnacentral:tRNA from 3 species
GGUUCCGUGGUGUAGUGGUUAACACGUCUGCCUGUCACGCAGAAGAUCGCGGGUUCAAGUCCCGUCGGAACCGCCA